AAUACUUUAAAGUUGUUGCAGUUAAAAAGCUCGUAGUUGGAUUUGUGGUGGUCCCUGUGGUCCUCUUUUGGUACUUUUGGGGACUGCCAUCUUUGGGUGGAUCCUGUGUGGCAUUAGGUUGUCGCGCAGGGGAUGCCCAUCGUUUACUGUGAAAAAAUUAGAGUGUUCAAAGCAGGCUUAUGCCGUUGAAUAUAUUAGCAUGGAAUAAUGAGAUAGGACCUUGGUACUAUUUUGUUGGUUUGCGCACCAAGGUAAUGAUUAAUAGGGACAGUUGUGGGUAUUCGUAUUCCAUUGUCAGAGGUGAAAUUCUUGGAUUUCUGGAAGACGAACUAACGCGAAAGCAUUUACCAAGGAUGUUUUCAUUAAUCAAGAACGAAAGUUAGGGGAUCGAAGAUGAUUAGAUACCAUCGUAGUCGUCAUAGCUGGUUUCCUAAAAGAGA
rnacentral:rRNA from 1 species